rnacentral:rRNA from 1 species
CAGGCCUAACACAUGCAAGUCGAGCGAUGAAGCACCUUCGGGUGUGAAUUAGCGGCGAACGGGUGAGGAACACGUGAGAAAUCUGCCUUCAACUCUGGGAUAACUCCGGGAAACCGGGGCUAAUACCGGAUAUGAGCCUUGAUCGCAUGAUCAGGGCUGGAAAGUUUUUCGGUUGAAGAUGAUCUCGCGGCCUAUCAGCUUGUUGGUGAGGUAAUGGCUCACCAAGGCGACGACGGGUAGCCGGCCUGAGAGGGCGACCGGCCACACUGGGACUGAGACACGGCCCAGACUCCUACGGGAGGCAGCAGUGGGGAAUAUUGGGCAAUGGAGGAAACUCUGACCCAGCGACGCCGCGUGAGGGAUGAAGGCCUUCGGGUUGUAAACCUCUUUCAGUAGGGAAGAAGCGAAAGUGACGGUACCUACAGAAGAAG